GGUGGCUCCUGCAGCGCGCUGGCUCCUGCACCUGCAAGGCCUGCAGAUGCCCCUCCUGCAAGAAGAGCUGCUGCUCCUGCUGCCCUGUGGGCUGUGCCAAGUGUGCCCAGGGCUGUGUCUGCAAAGGGGCCUCGGACAAGUGCAGCUGCUGCGCCUGAUGUCGGGGAGAGCCUGCCCUAGUUGUCAACAGAGCAACCAUGACAAAUUUAUAUAUUUUUUCAUACAACCUGACCUGGUGCUAAAUUUCCUUUUUCUAUGAGACAUGUGAUUUCUAGUAAAGUUGUUGACUUUA